ACUAUCCUUCCAGAAAGCUCGCUGUCCCUGUGAGCAGGAGACUGCCCCGCUGCCCGGGCACUCAGCCGACUCAGGGUGGACAGGCUGGAGGAGCCAGGCUCCUGGAGGCUCGCUGUGCUGCCCUUCCUCCAGAGGGCCCCCCCUGGAUUCUCCUAGAAAGUCUCCCAGUUAGGGGCGCCUGGGUGGCUUGGACCCCUGUGUUCACAAGAGGCACCCUGUAAGAUGAAGCCGGGGUGCUGAGCCUGAGCGGGAGUUCACUGGAAACUGUGCAUCUGGUGGGAGAGGCCCUGGAGUUGGCUCUGACCAGCCGCACCCCACCAGGCUGACUGCAGAGGACACUGCCCUACAGCGUCAGUGCCCACCCUGUCUCACUCUCUGCCACGCUUGCCCAGCCUCUGCUGGGAGGACGCACUCACCUGGCCAGUCCGAGAAUCUCCUGGGAAGGAAAGGUGAGAGCAUGAGCUUGGGGAGGAGAGCCUGGCUGCCUUCUCCCUCCCGCC